rnacentral:rRNA from 1 species
GAGUUAUGUCUCGUUGGUGACCAGCGGAGGGUCAUUACCGAGUUUACAACUCCCAAACCCCUGUGAACAUACCUUAUGUUGCCUCGGCGGAUCAGCCCGCGCCCCGUAAAAAGGGACGGCCCGCCGCAGGAACCCUAAACUCUGUUUUUAGUGGAACUUCUGAGUAUAAAAAACAAAUAAAUCAAAACUUUCAACAACGGAUCUCUUGGUUCUGGCAUCGAUGAAGAACGCAGCAAAAUGCGAUAAGUAAUGUGAAUUGCAGAAUUCAGUGAAUCAUCGAAUCUUUGAACGCACAUUGCGCCCGCCAGUAUUCUGGCGGGCAUGCCUGUUCGAGCGUCAUUUCAACCCUCAAGCCCAGCUUGGUGUUGGGAGCUGCAGUCCUGCUGCACUCCCCAAAUACAUUGGCGGUCACGUCGAGCUUCCAUAGCGUAGUAAUUUACACAUCGUUACUGGUAAUCGUCGCGGCCACGCCGUUAAACCCCAACUUCUGAAUGUUGACCUCGGAUCAGGUAGGAAUACCCGCUGAACUUAAGCAUAUCAAA